ensembl:snoRNA
CCGCAUCCUCUGUUAGACCCUGGAACUGUUUCCUGUUGUUCUUUGGUUUACACUAGGAUGAAAAAGGGAAAAAAAAAUCCCGGUGCUAUCUGUCUUUGUGGCAGCCCAGAUUGAAUAAGGGAAUACAUGU